rnacentral:rRNA from 3 species
AGAGUUUGAUCAUGGCUCAGAUUGAACGCUGGCGGCAGGCCUAACACAUGCAAGUCGAGCGGUAGCACAGAGAGCUUGCUCUCGGGUGACGAGCGGCGGACGGGUGAGUAAUGUCUGGGAAACUGCCUGAUGGAGGGGGAUAACUACUGGAAACGGUAGCUAAUACCGCAUAAUGUCGCAAGACCAAAGUGGGGGACCUUCGGGCCUCAUGCCAUCAGAUGUGCCCAGAUGGGAUUAGCUAGUAGGUGGGGUAACGGCUCACCUAGGCGACGAUCCCUAGCUGGUCUGAGAGGAUGACCAGCCACACUGGAACUGAGACACGGUCCAGACUCCUACGGGAGGCAGCAGUGGGGAAUAUUGCACAAUGGGCGCAAGCCUGAUGCAGCCAUGCCGCGUGUGUGAAGAAGGCCUUCGGGUUGUAAAGCACUUUCAGCGGGGAGGAAGGCGGUGAGGUUAAUAACCUCAUCGAUUGACGUUACCCGCAGAAGAAGCACCGGCUAACUCCGUGCCAGCAGCCGCGGUAAUACGGAGGGUGCAAGCGUUAAUCGGAAUUACUGGGCGUAAAGCGCACGCAGGCGGUCUGUCAAGUCGGAUGUGAAAUCCCCGGGCUCAACCUGGGAACUGCAUUCGAAACUGGCAGGCUAGAGUCUUGUAGAGGGGGGUAGAAUUCCAGGUGUAGCGGUGAAAUGCGUAGAGAUCUGGAGGAAUACCGGUGGCGAAGGCGGCCCCCUGGACAAAGACUGACGCUCAGGUGCGAAAGCGUGGGGAGCAAACAGGAUUAGAUACCCUGGUAGUCCACGCCGUAAACGAUGUCGAUUUGGAGGUUGUGCCCUUGAGGCGUGGCUUCCGGAGCUAACGCGUUAAAUCGACCGCCUGGGGGAGUACGGCCGCAAGGUUAAAACUCAAAUGAAUUGACGGGGGCCCGCACAAGCGGUGGAGCAUGUGGUUUAAUUCGAUGCAACGCGAAGAACCUUACCUGGUCUUGACAUCCACAGAACUUUCCAGAGAUGGAUUGGUGCCUUCGGGAACUGUGAGACAGGUGCUGCAUGGCUGUCGUCAGCUCGUGUUGUGAAAUGUUGGGUUAAGUCCCGCAACGAGCGCAACCCUUAUCCUUUGUUGCCAGCGGUCCGGCCGGGAACUCAAAGGAGACUGCCAGUGAUAAACUGGAGGAAGGUGGGGAUGACGUCAAGUCAUCAUGGCCCUUACGACCAGGGCUACACACGUGCUACAAUGGCAUAUACAAAGAGAAGCGACCUCGCGAGAGCAAGCGGACCUCAUAAAGUAUGUCGUAGUCCGGAUUGGAGUCUGCAACUCGACUCCAUGAAGUCGGAAUCGCUAGUAAUCGUAGAUCAGAAUGCUACGGUGAAUACGUUCCCGGGCCUUGUACACACCGCCCGUCACACCAUGGGAGUGGGUUGCAAAAGAAGUAGGUAGCUUAACCUUCGGGAGGGCGCUUACCACUUUGUGAUUCAUGACUGGGGUGAAGUCGUAACAAGGUAACCGUAG